AUUGAACGCUGGCGGCAGGCCUAACACAUGCGAGUCGAGCGGUAGAGAGAAGCUUGCUUCUCUUGAGAGCGGCGGACGGGUGAGUAAUGCCUAGGAAUCUGCCUGGUAGUGGGGGAUAACGUUCGGAAACGGACGCUAAUACCGCAUACGUCCUACGGGAGAAAGCAGGGGACCUUCGGGCCUUGCGCUAUCAGAUGAGCCUAGGUCGGAUUAGCUAGUUGGUGGGGUAAUGGCUCACCAAGGCGACGAUCCGUAACUGGUCUGAGAGGAUGAUCAGUCACACUGGAACUGAGACACGGUCCAGACUCCUACGGGAGGCAGCAGUGGGGAAUAUUGGACAAUGGGCGAAAGCCUGAUCCAGCCAUGCCGCGUGUGUGAAGAAGGUCUUCGGAUUGUAAAGCACUUUAAGUUGGGAGGAAGGGCAGUAAAUUAAUACUUUGCUGUUUUGACGUUACCGACAGAAUAAGCACCGGCUAACUCUGUG
rnacentral:rRNA from 1 species